rnacentral:tRNA from 1 species
GCCUGGCUGGCUCAGUUGGUGGACUGGGAGACUCUUGAUCUCAAGGUUGUGAGUUUAAGCCCCACGCUGGGUG